AGCGAACGCUGGCGGCAGGCCUAACACAUGCAAUUCGAACGAACCUUUCGGGGUUAGUGGCGGACGGGUGAGUAACACGUGGGAACGUGCCUUUAGGUUCGGAAUAACUCAGGGAAACUUGUGCUAAUACCGAAUGUGCCCUUCGGGGGAAAGAUUUAUCGCCUUUAGAGCGGCCCGCGUCUGAUUAGCUAGUUGGUUGAGGUAAUGGCUCACCAAGGCGACGAUCAGUAGCUGGUCUGAGAGGAUGAUCAGCCACAUUGGGACUGAGACACGGCCCAAACUCCUACGGGAGGCAGCAGUGGGGAAUCUUGCGCAAUGGGCGAAAGCAUGACGCAGCCAUGCCGCGUGAAUGAUGAAGGUCUGAGGAUUGUAAAAUUCUUUCACCGGGGACGAUAAUGACGGUACCCGGAGAAGAAGCCCCGGCUAACUUCGUG
rnacentral:rRNA from 1 species